rnacentral:rRNA from 1 species
AGAGUUUGAUCCUGGCUCAGAACGAACGCUGGCGGCAGGCUUAACACAUGCAAGUUGAACGGGAUUAAUUUAGUGCUUGCACUAAAUUAUGAGAGUAGCGCACGGGUGAGUAAUACAUGGGAACCUAUCCUGAAGUGGGGGACAACAGUUGGAAACGACUGCUAAUACCGCAUACGCCCCGAGGGGGAAAGAUUUAUCGCUUUAGGCAGGGCCCAUGGCAGAUUAGGCAGUUGGUGAGGUAACGGCUCACCAAACCGACGAUCUGUAGCUGGUCUGAGAGGACGAUCAGCCACACUGGAACUGAGACACGGUCCAGACUCCUACGGGAGGCAGCAGUGAGGAAUAUUGGGCAAUGGAGGCAACUCUGACCCAGCCAUGCCGCGUGAGUGAAGAAGGUUUUCGGAUUGUAAAGCUCUUUCGGAUGUGACGAUGAUGACGGUAGCAUCUAAAGAAGCCCCGGCAAACUUCGUGCCAGCAGCCGCGGUAAUACGAAGGGGGCGAGCGUUGUUCGGAAUUACUGGGCGUAAAGGGUGUGUAGGCGGUUAUGUAAGAUAGCGGUGAAAUGCCGGGGCUCAACCUCGGAAUUGCCUUUAUGACUAUAUAACUAGAAUAAUGGAGAGGAUAUCGGAAUACCCAGUGUAGAGGUGAAAUUCGUAGAUAUUGGGUAGAACACCAGUGGCGAAGGCGGGUAUCUGGCCAUUUAUUGACGCUGAGGCACGAAAGCAUGGGGAUCAAACAGGAUUAGAUACCCUGGUAGUCCAUGCUGUAAACGAUGAAUGCUAGUUGUUGGAGGAAUUCAGUGACGCAGUUAACACAAUAAGCAUUCCGCCUGGGGAGUACGGUCGCAAGAUUAAAACUCAAAGGAAUUGACGGGGACCCGCACAAGCGGUGGAGCAUGUGGUUUAAUUCGA